rnacentral:sRNA from 1 species
UCCGAAUAACAAUUAACAACAGUGAAACCAAAAGCCAUGAACAACAACGCCAGGACAGGACAAUGUACACCACAUUCUCCCUCGCAGACA